UCGAAACCUGCCCGAAAAGCAGAACGACCCGCGAACGCGUCCCCUUACUACUCGCUCUUUGGGCUCUCUCGGGGCUCUGGGCUGUCUGGGUCGCCGUCCCCGUCGGGGGCAACCCCGUUCGGAGGCGGCCUAGCUAAUAACGAACCCCGGCGCGAUCCGCGCCAAGGAAUACGCAACUAAAAACCCGAGGGGAGAGCCGUCGUCUCGGCGUCGCUUCUUCUCUCGGGGUGCAGCUAAAAUACAUAA
rnacentral:rRNA from 1 species